GGGGGAAUAGUUUAACGGUAGAACAACGGUCUUCAAAAUCGUUAGCGUGGGUUCGAAUCCUGCUUCCCUCG
rnacentral:tRNA from 15 species